rnacentral:lncRNA from 1 species
AUGCGGGCUUCGCGGCAAGCAGAGUCCAGCGGGCAGGCGACCAGGCGCUGCAGAGUCCAGGGGCCCGGGGGAGGGAGGAUGCCCUACCCCAAGCACCGCUCUGCGCAGCGGGGCUGCAGGACUUUGGAAGCGCCGCGAGGCCCCGGCCAGCCCUGGAACCGUGGAGAACCCGCCCGAGCCCCGGCUCCCCGAGGCACCGACUGCGGCGGACCCCGCCGCCGCCGCCGCCGCCGCUGCAAACCGGUCUGGCUUCCCUGCAGGGCGUGCGGGGAUGGAGCAAGGGGGUGGAGAGAAAAGGGGAAGAGCCUGGGCGGCGGGCGGGCGGGGCCUGCAGCCUCCCCGCGCCGCGGCCGCCGCCGUGCAGACUGCUCUCUCCGCGCCUCGCUCCGACUCCGGCGCGCACGGCGCGGGGACCCAGCCGGGGACCCGGACCCGGACCCGGACCCGGACCCGGACCCAGCCCCAGCCCCAGCCCCAGCCCGGGGGGCGCCGCUGCUCCUCCCGCCCCGGGGCUCCGGCCGCCGUUCGCUGCUCGCUGCGGACGGAGGACUGGCGGGGAGGGAAGGGGAAAGCGGGGACACGCGCGCGCACACACACACACUCGCCGCGGCGCGCGCAUUGCACACUCGCAGCCGCGCGCCCCCGCCGAGGCGCGUCCCGGGCGAGUUUGGCCCCGCGGCUCCGGCCCGGCACCUGCCGGCUCCCCCGCCGCGCCGCGCCCCGCCCCCGCCCGCCGCCCCCCGACCCCUCCCGCCUCGCCCGCACCGAGCUCCCGGCGCCGCGGGGAGGCAACUACAUCCAGAGAACUUGCAGACUGUGGCGCAACUGGUCUCGACGGCGGAGGCGCCCGAAUGCUGCCCGGGUGAGGUAAGUUUCCUGCGCGUCCCCGGCCCCUCCCCCGGGACCCUGCCCCCCACCCCGCGGGGGCUCGGGGGCUCGGGGGCUCCGCGUCCUGGGGAGCCCCGGACGUCUCCCCACCCUCGCGCUGCGUCCGCGUGGGUGCUGGGGCCGGGCGGGGGGGUCGCGUGUGGCCACCGAAGUGGGACCUCCAUCCGCGGGGGCCGCGAGCACCCCCAGCCCCCGCCGCGGCCGCGUGACCCCCGGGGACCCCUCUGGGUCACUUAG